GCUUUAAAGAUCUCACUUGUGUUUUGCAGUAUUAAUUAAUUUCAAGUGCAGUUUUGGCAGACCAACCAAGGGUCUCAACAGGCUGCAUAGAACGAGUGCUAUUUUUAAGACCAUCUCAGUGAAACUUUUUCCAAAUGAAACUCAACAGGAACCAGCCUUUAUUUGGACUCAUAUACUCGGUAAAUGCUCAACUUUUGUAGGCAUGUCAGCUGUUCCUGUUCACAAAAUAAGUUGUAUGUGCCUUUUACUACUGUGUUUAUUAAGCAUAGACUCAAGAAUAUAGGUGUUCUUGCUUUUGCCACUGUUUCCUUUUGGAAAAGAGGCGGUUGAUUCAUCCGCUAGAGAAAGAUGGCUGUGGAAGCGUAGGACACACAGCCUCAGUCACACAAAGUGGUCCUUGGUGAGAGUGCUGUCGCCUGGCGAUACGGGCCUGG
rnacentral:lncRNA from 1 species